GCGGCUCGUACGAGUCACUAGUUGUUGAGUUCCUUGAGGACUUAGUAACGCAGCUAACGCAUUAAGUUGACCGCCUGGGGAGUACCGCCGCCAGGUUAAAACUCCAAUGAAUUGACGGGGGCCCCCACAAGCGGUGGAGCCUGUGGUUUAAUUCCAAGCCACCCGAAGAACCCUACCUGGCCUUGACCUGCUGAGAACUUUCCAGAGAUAGAUUGGUGCCUUCGGGAACUCAGACACAGGUGCUGCAUGGCUGUCGUCCGCUCGUGUCGUGAGAUGUUGGGUUAAGUCCCGUAACGAGCGCAACCCUUGUCCUUAUUUACCAGCACGUAAUGGUGGGCACUCUAAGGAGACUGCCGGUGACAAACCGGAGGAAGGUGGGGAUGACGUCCAGUCAUCAUGGCCCUUACGGCCAGGGCUACACACGUGCUACAAUGGUUGGUACAACGGGCUGCCAAGUCGCGAGACGGAGCUAAUCCCAUAAAACCAAUCGUAGUCCGGAUCGCAGUCUGCAACUCGACUGCGUGAAGUCGGAAUCGCUAGUAAUCGUGGAUCAGAAUGCCGCGGUGAAUACGUUCCCGGGCCUUGUACACACCGCCCGUCACACCAUGGGAGUGGGUUGCACCAGAAGUAGCUAGUCUAACCUUCGGGAGGACGGUUACCACGGUGUGAUUCAUGACUGGGGUGAAGUCG
rnacentral:rRNA from 1 species